AUUGAACGCUGGCGGCAGGCCUAACACAUGCAAGUCGAACGAGUGGCGGACGGGCGAGUAAUGUCUGGGUAACUGCCCGAUGGAGGGGGAUAACUACUGGAAACGGUAGCUAAUACCGCAUACCACAGGAUUUGCCCAGCUGGGAGUAGCUAGUAGGUGGGGUAACGGCUCACCUAGGCGACGAUCUCUAGCUGGUCUGAGAGGAUGACCAGCCACAGUGGGACUGAGACACGGGCCAGACUCCUACGGGAGGCAGCAGUGGGGAAGAUUGCACAAUUGGCGCAAGCCUGAUGCAGCAAUGCCGCGUGUAUGAAGAAGGCCUUCGGGUUGUAAAGUACUUUCAGCGAGGAGGCGUUAUUCGCAGAAGAAGCACCGGCUAACUCCGUGCCAGCAGCCGAGGUAAUUC
rnacentral:rRNA from 1 species